UACGGAGGGUGCAAGCGUUGUCCGGAUUUAUUGGGUUUAAAGGGUGCGUAGGUGGCUUGUUAAGUCCGGGGUGAAAGCCCACAGCUCAACUGUGGAACUGCCCUGAAUACUGGCGAGCUUGAGUACAGACGAGGUAGGCGGAAUUGAAGAUGUAGCGGUGAAAUGCUUAGAUAUCUUCAAGAACACCGAUUGCGUAGGCAGCUUACUAGGCUGUAACUGACGCUGAGGCACGAAAGCGUGGGGAGCGAACAGG
rnacentral:rRNA from 1 species